CACGUAGGGUGCGAGCGUUGUCCGGAAUUAUUGGGCGUAAAGAGCUCGUAGGCGGUCCGUCACGUCGGGAGUGAAAACUUGGGGCUUAACCCCAAGCCUGCUUCCGAUACGGGCGGACUAGAGGUAGGCAGGGGAGAACGGAAUUCCUGGUGUAGCGGUGAAAUGCGCAGAUAUCAGGAGGAACACCGGUGGCGUAGGCGGUUCUCUGGGCCUUACCUGACGCUGAGGAGCGAAAGCGUGGGGAGCAAACAGG
rnacentral:rRNA from 1 species